rnacentral:lncRNA from 1 species
GGGAACUAAAGGUACUUUAUGUCUGCUUCUGACAUCAGUCUCUGCACUUUCCUGUGACAGAGCAAGUCUUUUCUAGGCAGGCUCUGUGGGGUAAUUGAAUUAAGAGAGCCUGUGAUCAGCUCUGCUUCUAUUUUUAAGUUCCAGAACUUACAGACAAGGAUUUCUUUUCUCAAAAAGUUCGAUAAAAAGGACGAGGGUUGAAGAAGUUUGAAGACCGACCUCUUCCUGCCUCCCCACAGCCCUUCAGUCUUCUUCUUACAUCAAGGUUAUGGCUAACAGACAGCUCUCAGGGAGGGACCUGCUCUGUGAAGACUUUCCUCCUUCUUUCUGUCAGAGGCAUCUUGAUAGGGAAGCUGAAGCAUGGGGGAAUAGCUUUUCUUUGUGGAACAACCCUGCUGUGUGCUUCUUUGUCCCUAUCCUUGCCUCUCCAUAGAAGACAGGCUGUGUGUGGACCACGUGCGUCUGUCGGACCACGGGAACUCUCCUGCUGUUUUAACUGGAUGACCAUAGGAAAAUGUCUUGUUGCAAGUGCAAGCACCAAUUCCCUGCAUGGAGGAGAAGGACUUCUGCAGCCAAUUGCUGAUGGUUAAUAAGAGCUGGGUGCUGUCAACAUCAGUGUAAGUCCUGUAUCUUAUGUUCUUAUUUUCAAACUCAGGUCUUCAACUAUGUGGCUACAGCUGUUUUUGGUGUGGUUUGGGGUUAUUUGUUGUUUUUUUUUCAAUGAAAGUAGAAAUUCUGUGUUCAAAAAGCUGGGAACAAGUGAAAAGCAAGAAAGUCUGCAGCAGCUGGAAGGUGUAGUAACACUGGGGUGU